rnacentral:ribozyme from 1 species
GCUGCUCAAAAUUUGCACACCGCUACGAGGUGAGCAGCAGACAACGCCUAUCUAAUGAUAGACGGCUAAGAUGCAAAA